rnacentral:rRNA from 1 species
GACGAACGCUGGCGGCGUGCUUAACACAUGCAAGUCGAACGGAAAGGCCCUGCUUUCGUGGGGUGCUCGAGUGGCGAACGGGUGAGUAACACGUGAGUAACCUGCCCUGGACUUUGGGAUAACUUCAGGAAACUGGGGCUAAUACCGGCUAGGAGCUCCUGCUGCAUGGUGGGGGUUGGAAAGUUUCGGCGGAGGGGGAUGGAUGCUCGGCUUAUCAGCUUGUUGGUCGAGGAGCGGCCUACCGAGUGAUUGGCGGGUAGCCGGCACGAGAGGGUGAACGCCCUCAUGGGGACUGAGAGACGGAGCAGUCUGCUACAGGAGGCAGUAGGCGGGAAUCUUGCACAGUGGUGCGAAGCGUGUUGCAGCGACGCUCCGAUCGGGAUGACCGCCUUCUUGUUGUGAACCGCUUUCACCUGUUACGAUGCUUGAGUGACGUUAAUGGGUAAAGAAGCACCGGCUAACUACGUG